rnacentral:rRNA from 2 species
AGGUGGGAGCACGGAUUAGAUACCCUGGUAGUCCACGCCGUAAACGAUGAGUACUAAGUGUCGGGUUAAACCGGUACUGAAGUUAACACAUUAAGUACUCCGCCUGAGUAGUACGUACGCAAGUAUGAAACUUAAAGGAAUUGACGGGACUCCGCACAAGCGGUGGAUCAUGUUGUUUAAUUCGAAGAUACCCGAAAAACCUUACCAGGUCUUGACAUGUUUUUGCAAAAUGAUAGUAAUAUCGUGGAGGUUACCAGAAACACAGGUGGUGCAUGGUUGUCGUCAGCUCGUGUCGUGAGAUGUUAGGUUAAGUCCUAAAACGAGCGAAACCCUUAUCGUUAGUUGCCAGCACGUUAUGGUGGGGACUUUAACGAGACUGCCAAUGAUAAAUUGGAGGAAGGUGAGGAUCACGUCAAAUCAGCAUGCCCCUUAUGACCUGGGCUACAAACGUGAUACAAUGGCUGUUACAAAGGUAACCUUGGAAGAA